UGGUGGAGUGAUUUGUCUGGUUAAUUCCGAUAACGAGCGAGACCUUAACCUGCUAAAUAGUAGUCCAAAGGCAACUUUGGUUCGACUUCUUAGAGGGACUAAUUACGUUUAGUAAUUGGAAGUUUGAGGCAAUAACA
rnacentral:rRNA from 1 species